UCUGACUAUGCAGAGUGAACGGCAUGGCCUGUGGCGCUGACUGACUAGGUGGAGGAGGUGGUGGCACUGUAGGGUCAUACUGGGCACCAACCGGGGGCGGGACCUGCUGGGCCUGCUGCCCAUCUAUCCUCCGGCCAAGGCUAGCUAUAGCCUCCUGAAUCGAAGCCAUGGCCUCAGCGAACUGAUCGACGGUAACUAUCUGUGAAUCCAUAUCCCUCUGAUCUGAUCUCUGGUCUAACUGGUCC
rnacentral:lncRNA from 1 species